UUUAUGGAGAGUUUGAUCCUGGCUCAGGAUGAACGCUGGCGGCGUGCCUAAUACAUGCAAGUCGAGCGAACGGACGAGAAGCUUGCUUCUCUGAUGUUAGCGGCGGACGGGUGAGUAACACGUGGAUAACCUACCUAUAAGACUGGGAUAACUUCGGGAAACCGGAGCUAAUACCGGAUAAUAUUUUGAACCGCAUGGUUCAAAAGUGAAAGACGGUCUUGCUGUCACUUAUAGAUGGAUCCGCGCUGCAUUAGCUAGUUGGUAAGGUAACGGCUUACCAAGGCAACGAUGCAUAGCCGACCUGAGAGGGUGAUCGGCCACACUGGAACUGAGACACGGUCCAGACUCCUACGGGAGGCAGCAGUAGGGAAUCUUCCGCAAUGGGCGAAAGCCUGACGGAGCAACGCCGCGUGAGUGAUGAAGGUCUUCGGAUCGUAAAACUCUGUUAUUAGGGAAGAACAUAUGUGUAAGUAACUGUGCACAUCUUGACGGUACCUAAUCAGAAAGCCACGGCUAACUACGUGCCAGCAGCCGCGGUAAUACGUAGGUGGCAAGCGUUAUCCGGAAUUAUUGGGCGUAAAGCGCGCGUAGGCGGUUUUUUAAGUCUGAUGUGAAAGCCCACGGCUCAACCGUGGAGGGUCAUUGGAAACUGGAAAACUUGAGUGCAGAAGAGGAAAGUGGAAUUCCAUGUGUAGCGGUGAAAUGCGCAGAGAUAUGGAGGAACACCAGUGGCGAAGGCGACUUUCUGGUCUGUAACUGACGCUGAUGUGCGAAAGCGUGGGGAUCAAACAGGAUUAGAUACCCUGGUAGUCCACGCCGUAAACGAUGAGUGCUAAGUGUUAGGGGGUUUCCGCCCCUUAGUGCUGCAGCUAACGCAUUAAGCACUCCGCCUGGGGAGUACGACCGCAAGGUUGAAACUCAAAGGAAUUGACGGGGACCCGCACAAGCGGUGGAGCAUGUGGUUUAAUUCGAAGCAACGCGAAGAACCUUACCAAAUCUUGACAUCCUUUGACAACUCUAGAGAUAGAGCUUUCCCCUUCGGGGGACAAAGUGACAGGUGGUGCAUGGUUGUCGUCAGCUCGUGUCGUGAGAUGUUGGGUUAAGUCCCGCAACGAGCGCAACCCUUAAGCUUAGUUGCCAUCAUUAAGUUGGGCACUCUAAGUUGACUGCCGGUGACAAACCGGAGGAAGGUGGGGAUGACGUCAAAUCAUCAUGCCCCUUAUGAUUUGGGCUACACACGUGCUACAAU
rnacentral:rRNA from 1 species